GUUGCGUUCGGUUGUUAAGUAAAGUUUGUGUGAGUAUGUGGACGUUGAAAAUGUAUGCAUGCAAGCUUUUUGUGCAUUUGAAUGCAAAAAGUGGUAAUUGCUAUGUUCAAAGUGCCGUGAAUUUCGUUGCAAAAAGUUCUCUAACCAAAGAAUAUUCAACUUAACAAAUUUGCGGUCGAAUAUUGAAAAUAAGAAUGCUUCAAAAUGAGAAUUGAAAACUGUGUGUGCAUAAAUCGUCGGGUAUAGAAAAAAUGGCCGUACCUAGAGGUGUAGGCAGAUGGCAGUGUUCGAUUCAUCGCUUUAAACGAAUUACGCUCUGUUCUUGGAAAAUUAGUACUGCGACCAAAAUGCGUCAAUUAGUUACCAUACCGACUAUUUCUGACCCAUUUUGGCACGUGGGUCAACGUAAAUACCAAGUUUACUACGGUUACUUCAGAGAAUAUAAUAAAGAAUAUUUUUUAAUACUUUAUAAGCUCAAGAUUUUUUCACGAUUAUAUCACUCAAUACAUUUCUUUUGCGCCAUAAAUCGUGCAGAAGAUAUAAAUAAAUGGAAAAUUAAAUGGGCAUAAAAAUGCAAAUUCGUCAGUAUACAAAUAGGUAUUCAUUGAAAACUCAUUCUUCAAUAUGCUGCCUUACUCAUUCAAAUACUAAGUACCCCGCAAAUUCACCGGGAAGAGAGAAGCGUAGCAGAACUAGCUGAGUCAUAUUUAAAAAAAUUUGCAUAACUCACACAUAGCCCAGGCACAUCAGUACGGUCGACACCAGUCAAUUGGAGUUAAAUGGGAAGCAGUGCUACAGGUAGAGUAAAGAUAAAUUGUGUAUGGAUCUCUAAUAUUCCCAAA